GGAUGGGUGCCCGAGAGGCUAAAGGGGGCGGGCUGUAAACCCGCUGGCUUCGGCCUACGGUGGUUCGAAUCCACCCCCAUCCA
rnacentral:tRNA from 1 species